ensembl:snoRNA
AACGAGGCUAGAGUCACGCCUGGUCAUGACUUGUUGGCUUGGUGUGCUAGAGCACUCGGAGAGAAAAUGUCUUUGCUUAUUCGUUGGCUGUAGUCUGUCGUGGCCCAGCCAAUCACAAUAUGAGACACAUUC